AGCUAAAUACAAUUUCAUUUUUUCAGAUAGGGUUUCGUUUCCCAUUUCCUUAGUUCCUGCCGCCCUCACGCCCCACCCAUUCUACCAUCUCCGCCGCGCCGAGCCCCUCCCGACCCCGCCCACCGCGCCGUGCCGCUCCCCCGCGCCGUGCCGCUCCCCCGCGCCGCGCCCAGUUCCCAGCAAGAUCCGCGCCCAGAUUUGACGGUUAAUUUGGGGAUCUAGGGUUCCAAUUUGGGCUCCACCACCUCCCACCGCCGUCGCGCCACCUCCCACCGCUGAAGCAACCACUGACGCCAGCCACCGACGAAUAUGUAGGUUUUUGGCUCCGAUCUGGGUGUUCCACCGCCUCUCGGUCUCUCCUCCCCUCUUUUAGAUUUAUUUUUGUAGAUCUAAAGCUAAUAUGUAGCCACCGGCGAAUAGAUCUCGGGCGGAUCUUGGAAUACUUAAGUGGGUUUCGAUUUGUUUUGAUUUUGUUCGAUUUUUGUUUCUCUUGUCUUGAAUGUGCUGUGGAUUUAUUUUUCUUUCUCAUACACUCCAUUUCCAAACUUUGACGCUACAGAGGAUGCGAAGCCAAUAUUUGAGUUUGUGAUAUUUUUUAGUGUGUUAUGAUAUUCUUCUAAUUUCUCUUUAGUCGUGUUAUUACGCUUGAGCAAGGGAUUUGCAAUUGGUUCUGCAGCAUUAGCAUCUUUUCUUCUGUUUAGUGCAUACAUGGAUGAAGUAGGUUCAUUUGCACAUGUACAAUUUCAUCAGGUAAGCAUUCUAGUUCUUGCUAAAAAAAAUUUAUCCCUGCUAUUUGUUUACCUAUGAAAUAGGGGAUGCCUGAAUCAAAGAACUCUUGUUAGGACCUGUCUACUUGGUUUGAUUACUGACUUUAUUAUAUUUUUUGUUUAAUCUAUUAGUUUCAUAUCUUCUUGAACUAUUACAGGUUGAUAUCGCCAUUCCUGAAGUGUUUAUUUGUGGGCUUCUGGGCUCUAUGCUUAUAUUUCUAUUUAGUGCAGAUGGAAACAUGGAAACAUGCAGCCUGAAAAACCUAUUUGUGAGCAGAUGCUCUAGUUGUUACGCUUGAGUGUAGGAACGCUGGCGAUUAUUAGACUGUGCAGUAUCAAGUUCACCCUCUCUGUUUCUUCUUUUUUCCCCUGUGUCUGUUCCAACUGUUAGUACUGGUUUCUUUUGAAUUUGUCUAAUUCUUUGUAUUACUUUUUUGUUGGUUUUUAUUUAAUUUGAAUAUUUUUUAUAUUUGUAGGAUGCUAUUUGCAAGGAGAUUCAAGACCCAAUGCCAUGUUUUAUGAAAUUAUGUUUAUUAUGUAAUUUUGAUACUUUUUUUGGGAUUUAUUUUGUGAUUUUGUAUUGUGGAUUGAAAUUUGUGGAGUGAACUACAAAAUAGGUUGUAUAUAUUAUUAAUACACGAACCGAGCUCAAACUCGAGCCUGAAUUCGAAUUCAAGCUCGAGUUCGGUUUUGAAAUCGAACUCUAAAA
rnacentral:lncRNA from 1 species